rnacentral:snRNA from 1 species
GGGCUUGCUCCGGCAGCACAUAUACUAAAAUUGGAAGGAUACAAAGAAGAUUAGCACAGCCCCUGUGCAAGGAUGACACGCAAAUUCGUGAAGCUUCCAUAUUUUUA